CCUACGGGAGGCAGCAGUGGGGGAUAUUGCACAAUGGGGGAAACCCUGAUGCAGCGACGCCGCGUGUGGGAAGACGGUCCUCUGGGUUGUAAACCACUGUCCCCAGGGACGAAGAUGACGGUACCUGGGGGGGAAGCUCCGGCUAACUACGUGCCAGCAGCCGCGGUAAUACGUAGGGAGCGAGCGUUUUCCGGAAUUACUGGGUGUAACGGGAGCGUGGGCGGGACUGCAAGUUGGGUGUCAAAUCUACCGGCUCAACCGGUAGCCGCACUCAAAACUGCAGUUCUUGAGUGAAGUAGAGGCAGGCGGAAUUCCUGGUGUAGCGGUGAAAUGCGUAGAUAUUAGGAGGAACACCAGUGGCGAAGGCGGCCUGCUGGGCUUUUACUGACGCUGAGGCUCGAAAGUGUGGGGAGCAAACAGGAUUAGAUACCCGAGUAGUC
rnacentral:rRNA from 1 species